rfam:Pseudomonas syringae strain GAW0119 contig23.1, whole genome shotgun sequence.
GGGUCGCUCGGCAUGGAUGCCGAGCGAGCGCCGCUGGGCCAGGGAUGGCCCUUCGGCGCGUGCCC